GGGAGAUAGAUUUUAAUUUUUUGCUGGAUGGACUUGAUGAUAGUUUGGCUCAUGGUUAUUUUCCUGCACAAAAAGUCAAAAACAGUCUUGCAUGAAUUCUGUAGAUCAUUAAUUUGAGUGAAAAGAGAAGAAUCAAUCUUGAAAAAUCUGAGAUUUCACAGUUUGUUUAUAUUGUUGCCUUCGUAACAGUGCAGGUUUCCAACCACAAAGGAAAACUCAACUGAUAUAUUGAAGUCAGUUUAGUCAAUUGUCAGUAGGUCGUUGUCAUUGUAAUUCCAAAAGGAAAAAAAAAGUUAAUGAGAUUCAAAAAAAUACAUGUCCAAAAAUGGGGAAAAAAAAUACAAUAUAUUUUAUUUUUCCCUCAUUCGUCUCUUAGUCAAAUAAAUUUGUGCCAUGCAUGUUGAACCAUUGAAUUUAAAAGUCACUUUGUUGUCUUGAUAUUGAUGAAGAUGAAACUUUCAAAGGAGCGGGAU
rnacentral:misc_RNA from 1 species